UACGGGGGGGGGCAAGCGUUUGUUCGGAAUUACUGGGCGUAAAGGGCGCGUAGGCGGCCUGCUAAGUCGGACGUGAAAUCCCCUCGGCUCAACCGGGGAACUGCGUCCGAUACUGGUGGGCUCGAAUCCGGGAGAGGGAUGUGGAAUUCCAGGUGUAGCGGUGAAAUGCGUAGAUAUCUGGAGGAACACCGGUGGCGAAGGCGGCAUCCUGGACCGGCAUUGACGCUGAGGAGCGAAAGCCAGGGGAGCAACGGG
rnacentral:rRNA from 1 species